AUGCCGAGGUCUUCUUCCUCCGCGCCCCGCAUCCUCGGCAGGGCCAUGGCCAUCCUCACCCUGCCGCUCACCCCGCUCUCCAAGGCCAGGGCGGCGACGACCCUGCUCCUCUUCAAGAGGCGCCGCGCGCGCCGCCUGCGCCACUACAACUACGCCUACGUGGGCGAGUACCAGUUCUCCCCGUCCGGCUCCCCGCUGCUCCUGCCCCGCCCGCCCGGCGUCUCCGCGUGGCGCGCCAGGCGGCGGAGCCGGGCCAGGACGGUCCUCGCCGCGCUGCUCUGCGGCGGCGGGUGCGGCUUCGGCGGCUUCGACGGGGACGGCGGGAUCGACGUCGCCGUGCUCGACGGCCUGCUGCCCCUGCCCCAGGCUCUGCAGGAGGACGAGCGGGCGGCUGACGACGGCGCGUCGUACGGGUACGGCGAGGAGGAGGUGUCCGACGGCGAGGAGGGGGUGGAGGUGGCGGAGGAGUUCGAGGGGGACGAGGAGGUGGACGGCCGCGCCGAGCGGUUCAUCGAGAGGUUCUACGAGGAGAUGAGGCUGCAGCAGAGGCGCCUCCUCUAG
rnacentral:rRNA from 1 species